CAGUCUGUUUCAUCCGUAUAGGAAUCAUCAGGUGGUGAAUAAUUUCAAAAUUGUAGGUUGCUUUUAUGCUGUCGAAAGAAUGUGCGGAAUGCGUGUAGGCGAAACAAUGCUUAGGUGAAACAAUGCAUGCUUGGGUCAUUAGGUUUUGUUAACGACCUUGUUUACUCGAAACCGGUUUUUGUGACGACAUUUGCCGAAAAUUUCGCUCCUUUUAUUGAGUAAAUUGUCUUUG
rnacentral:lncRNA from 1 species